GAGCUAGAAGACAUAUGAGUUUUGACUAAUAGGAAUGGCGAUACUCGAACUCCUGGGGUAUUCAAUGGAAGCUUCAAAAAGAUAUUACCUCAUUUGAUCUUUGUAUACACCUCAUUAGAUACUGACAGCUAUUCAACAAAUAAAGAAAAAGAGGCAUAGAAAAUUUGGAUAACUUACUAAAGUCAUUGAGACAACAGACAGCCAAGGCAUUGGCACAGUCUUUGGACAUGAAAAUCAUGGAGAAGGAAGAGGCUGAUUGUUAUCCAUGAUUAGGCAGUGCAGAUAUAGCUCAAUAUUCCAAAUGGGAUGUUUUGGCCUUGGAGUUAAGUUCCAAGAGCAUUAUAAAAUAAUCACCUGUAUAGGAAGUCCUGACUUAACUCUAUUAACAACUUCGAAAGUCACAUACCUGAAGAUGAUCCUGCAUGUCCAUAGAGCCUAGGUCCCUCAAAAGAUGGUGUUGCAAUGACAGAAAUUGAGACAUCAAGAGAACGUUUAGCAGAAUAAGUUAGUUAAGAUGUAGGUGUGUCGAAAGUUUCAGGUGUCAGUAAACAUCAAAAGAAAAUGUAGCAGUAGCUAGAAAUUUCCAGGCUGAAGAUGAAGGUUAAAGCUAAAGAUAGACUAUUUUUGUCAUCUACAUGGAAGAUGAUGGCUAAAGCUAUAAGAGUGAAUGACAUCAGCAAGGAAGAAAAUACAGGAAUAAGGAAGAAGAGAUGGUGAAAUGGCUACUCGUAAGGAGUGGGAGAAAGAAUAAAUGAGAAGAAAAUGAAGAAUGUGUGGCCAAGAACAUAGGAGAAAAGCCAGGAAGAUCAAUGUCUUAUCAACAGACAGAUUUGAGCAGCAGGUACUCAACAGAGCUUAAGAAAAACAAAUAUUGAGAACAGAGUAAGGACUAUUUCAUUUGGUGAACAGGAGAUUUCUAUUGAACUAGAAUAGCUAGGUAACUACAUUUUCAUGGGUUAAGAAGAGAAGAGGAGAAAGAACAGUGAGGAAGAGAACCCAUUGUAUUAUUGAGGAAUUUUGAAGUCAAAUAAAAAAGAGAUGUGAGUGGAAUGACAUAAUUCUAGAGAUAAGUGAAGCUGGAGAAUGUUACAUGCUUGGAAGGAAGGAGUGAGUCUUAGAAAUUAAGGGAGCAAGUUCCUUCAAGACAGAUGAAACGUAAUGAGCAACAGAAUGAACUAGAUAUGAUAAUGAUGCAAAACUCUUCUUUGUUACAUACAGGCUGGGAGAAGGGUCCACACAAAAAUUCUGAGAUGGAGAUGAUGGCUAAAGUUAGAGUUCACAUUGGAUGACUUUGAACUCAGUAAACUAGGUGAAUUUGCCAGAAGAUAUGAAGCUGUGGGAACUUGGAAGCCCAGGACACUAUGAUAUUGAUUACAGGGAAAUAGUUCAAAAAUAUCACAAGAUUACAAGCAGCUAAAGUAACAUUGUCACCAAGACUGCCUGGAAGAGAAAGAGAGACAAGUGAGAAGAUUCUUGCCAUCAUUCAGGCUAAUGUUGAUGAUAAUUGAGCAUAGUAAAGGUGGAGAGGAGGAGAUGCCACAUUUGGAAAGCAAUUCUAACAGAAUCCACAUGAUUUCAAGUCUAAUUAUGCAUAUAUUCUGAGUUAUCAAUGAUUCAAGUGGUCCUAUUAUUGCAAGACUACAAAGACAAC
rnacentral:lncRNA from 1 species